AGCAGCCGCGGUAAUUCCAGCUCCAAUAGCGUAUAUUAAAGUUGUUGCAGUUAAAAAGCUCGUAGUUGAAUUUCGGGAUCAAGGAAUCGGUCAUGCCUCGGUAUGUACUGGUUUUAUUGGUUCUCACCUUCUAAAGAACCAUAAUGUCAUUCAUUUGAUGUUAUGGGGAAUUAGGACUGUUACCUUGAAAAAUUAGAGUAUUUAAAGCAGGCUUACGCUUGAAUACAUUAGCAUGGAAUAAUGAAAUAGGACAUCAGAUUCAUUUUGUUGGUUUCUAGGAUCGAUGUAAUGAUUAAUAGGGAUAGUUGGGGCAUUAG
rnacentral:rRNA from 1 species